GGAUGGAGUACAAUGUGGUUAUUAUGUUAUGAAGAUUAUCCAGAGUUUCAUGACAGUUGUUAAUCCUGCAAGUUUUUUGAAAAAUCAUUUCAAGUUAGAUGCUCCCUAUAGUAACGAGGAGAUCAAUGUCGUACGGGAUGAGUGGGCCGAAUUUGUGAAGCCUUUGAUUAUAGAUUAAGUACUUAAGGUUACUACACUUUUCUUAUAAUACAUGAGUAACAAGUUUUAUGAUUAUUGUUAUCUUUUGCAUA